AUUGAACGCUGGCGGCAGGCCUAACACAUGCAAGUCGAACGAGUGGCGGACGGGUGAGUAAUGUCUGGGAAACUGCCUGAUGGAGGGGGAUCACUACUGGAAACGGUAGCUAAUACCGCAUACCAUCGGAUGUGCCCAGAGGGGUUUAGCUAGUAGGUGGGGUAAAGUCUCACCUAGGCGACGCUCCCUAGCUGGUCUGAGAGGAUGACCAGCCACACUGGAACUGAGACACGGGCCAGACUCCUACGGGAGGCAGCAGUGGGGAAUAUUGCACAAUGGGCGCAAGCCUUAUGCAGCCAUGCCGCGUGUAGGAAGAAGGCCCUAGGGUUGUAAAGUACUUUCAGCGGGGAGGCGUUACCCGCAGAAGAAGCACCGGCUAACUCCGUGCCAGCCGCCGCGGUAAUAC
rnacentral:rRNA from 1 species